UGCGUUCUUAUCCGACAAUACAGCCACCCGCGGCGAGGCUUUGGUUUUUAACCAAUCAGCUUGCAGCAGUACUGAUCAGGCACGGAUCCCUGUACUAGCGAGCAGACCACGAGCAGUUGCGUUAUUUUUCGUUGUCUGUUCUGGCAAUCGGCCGGCGGAUGAACAUCCGCAAUCGAAUCUUGAAAUCCGUCGCGCUGAUUGGUGAUGAGUUUCAUGAGCUACUUUUAUGAGGUCUAUGAAAGUAAACCUAUGCUAUGCCCUGAACAGAUGACAUCUCGUUUGGUAGCCAAUUGCUAAAAUGCAUUUUUAUCUUAUGCAAGGCAGUAUACCAUAUUUUAUACCGUGGCUCUGAUCCGAAAUCAGGGCAUUUUUGUUCGAACAAAUACCUAUAAUAACGAUGAAGAAGUGCGUGAUCCGCGGAGCAAACGACCUACGUCGGGUCGGGACUGAUAUGCGUGUGACUGUGCACAAGUUCCCGCUAAAAAAAGAAGUACAGAGAAAAGUGGAUGAGGGUGUGUGGCAUGACCAAUGAGCCAAGACCACAUGACCACUUAAACUUAACAAGAAGUGCGCACCAUGAUAAGCACAGUCAAAAACGUUUGCGUCUAAAGAACAGUGCUGUGCCGGAUCAGAAUAUUCCGUAUACGCCUUGGGUUGCUGUCGCUGCUCGGUCACCCACAGAUGAAAGUGAUCAAGAAAUGGACAUCACUCAGGUGUGGGAUCACUCGUGGAAGUUCACGGCGGAUGCGGAGCCGUGCAUGCAGCUCUGGUUCGAUCCUGCUCAGGGAAGCCCCAAUGACGCCGUGGCGCGCAUCUGGGCUGAGCGGGUGGUGGCGGACGGUGCGCGGGCGCUGCCGCGUGGCUGGUGGCCGCGGCCCUGGCGGCAGCGGCCCGCUCCUGACCCGGUCGCCCUGUGCCGAGCACAGAGUGCCGACUGAGGUCAGUCUUGUGAUCGAGCUUCCGCGCCGGAGGUGGAACAGGUGGAGCUGGCGGUCACCUGCGCGGGCUCGGCGGCCUGUAAGCCGUGCCGAGACGAACCGCGACACUCUUGCUAGAUCUGCACCCCAUUGUAAUCUUCUGUAGUCGAUAUUCGGUAGGUACUCAAUGCUCAUUUUUCUGAUAUUAGACGAGUGGCGGGUUUUGAUGUUACAUUGGAGACUGCUGUCUCGGGUGUCCCGACAGUGUUCGAUUGUGGUGUAAUGUAGAUACAUAGACGGGAUGCCGCGGCUCGGAUUCGUAGCUGGACUACCAUGUGCCUGUCGAUUGAGAUGCUUUGCCUGGCGAUUGAGAUGAUUCGGGGCGCGGCCCCACACUGACGCCAUGGUGCAAUGAGUGACUGGCGACAACUAAGCAAUUAUGUACUUUUGUA